CAGCAGCCACGGGAAUACAGAGGGUGCGAGCGUUAAUCGGAUUUACUGGGCGUAAAGCGUGCGUAGGCGGCUUCUUAAGUCGGAUGUGAAAUCCCUGAGCUUAACUUAGGAAUUGCAUUCGAUACUGGGAAGCUAGAGUAUGGGAGAGGAUGGUAGAAUUCCAGGUGUAGCGGUGAAAUGCGUAGAGAUCUGGAGGAAUACCGAUGGCGAAGGCAGCCAUCUGGCCUAUACUGACGCUGAGGUACGAAAGCAUGGGGAGCAAACAGGAUUAGAUACCCCCGUAGUCCCUGUCUCUUAUACA
rnacentral:rRNA from 1 species